CAGCGAAGAUUAUAGGAAAUUAUUGAUCAUCACAUUUUUGACUUGAGUAAAACAACGUACUGCGCAUGCAUUAAUAAACGAAAAUACAAUGGCUUCAAAUGAACGUAUUAAGACUGCAGCGGUUAUAUCAUGGAUUUUGUCGAUUACUGCAAUAGCUCUGGUUAUAUACUGGAUGGUACACUAUAAUGACGGUUAUAAAGUUGACAUAUGGCAUUUUCACGACGCUAGAAUCUUUAACUAUCAUCCACUGUUUAUGGUAAUAGCGUUUAUUUUCCUUGCUCCGACAGGUUAGUGCAUAAUGUAAAUAUUAUCAGGCAUACUACAUUAAAUAUACAACUUGCAGGGCCGCAGCGAUCGAAGAGGCUAAGGUUGGGACUUGGGGGUGUAUAGUAUCGCAUUUGCCGA